GGUCUGCUGUGGCUCUCGUCGAAGGCAAUCUAUCCCAGAGACCUUAAUUUCUUCGAAGGGAUCUGUCCCUGUCCGGCCCCGUGGGGCCGGGCACAUGGAGCCCACCUGGUUAACCAGGUCCGAGGGGAUAAAACCGUCCUUCACGGCUCUCGCGGCGCCGCC
rfam:Phenylobacterium sp. Root1277 contig_1, whole genome shotgun sequence.